rnacentral:rRNA from 1 species
UACGGAGGGUGCUAGCGUUGUUCGGAAUCACUGGGCGUAAAGCGCGUGUAGGCGGCCCAUUAAGUCUGAUGUGAAAACCCGGGGCUCAACUCCGGGCUUGCGGUCGAUACGGGCAGGCUAGAGUUCGGUAGGGGAGACUGGAAUUCCUGGUGUAGCGGUGAAAUGCGUAGAUAUCGGGAGGAACACCAGUGGCGAAGGCGACUUCCUGGCCUGUUCUUGACGCUGAGGCGCGAAAGCUAGGGUAGCAAACGGG